UCACUUAUAUUAUUUGAUAUUACUAGCCACUUGCAGUAAUUUGGUUUUCUUGUCACAUUAGUGUUACUUUGGUGCAAUUACGUUAUUAUAUAUAUAUUGUUUAUGUAACUUGAUGUGUGUUUUGAUAUUAUUACUGCAUGUUUGCAUAAUUUAAUAUAAUGUAGAAUUGGGUUUAUACAAUUUCUAAUUAUCUCUCUGUAUAUGUUUAUCUUACAGAGACCACACAAACACACAAACUCACACACACACACACACACACCCAAACAUACUCACUCUGUAAUGCACACAAAUUCUGUAUCAUUGAAUAUGUGUGCAACACUUCAUUGAAGAAGCCACUUUAAUAUCUGGAAAUCAAUAAAGCUCUCAAUAUCACCUGAAGUCGCAGCUGUUCUCUGAUCGGAGCACAUAGUCAGUGAGGGGCAACUAGCUAUCAACGUACACAUCCGUCACAGAAGCUGUAAGUGGGUCAGAGGCUGGAGCUGCUCUCCUCACGGAGGAGAAAAGCCUUCAGCAUCAGCCGCAGAAACCCUACAGCUCUGCUCUCAAAAUGCCGGACACUCAGACUUCUAAUGGCCUUCUAAUGCAGCUCGGUUUCAGAUCGUCUCUGAAACUGUCAAAAUCAUUCAAUUCAACUCAAUUGCUCAAUAAAAAGCACAUUAAAUAAAA